ACACAAAUUUUCACAAUAUUGAUACCAACCAAUAGAUAAAAUAAUCACAAGGACCAAAUUUGAUUAUUUUAAAAAAAUGACCACCCAGUCACACCUCCUCCACUGCAAAACAGGUUGAGAAAUGAGAAUCAGAAUCCAAAACAGAAGCCACCAUCUAAAACCCCGCGUGGUGAAAAUCCAAAAAUGUUCCUGUUCCAGAAGGGUUCUCAUCUCCAUCGUCUCCUUCUGUCAAAGAAGUACUACUACCAUUUUCCGCUUCCACGCAACGCGGUUACCAUCGCCGAUUCCGUCGAACACCCCUCAGACGCCACCAUAGCCAAACUAGUCCUCGAAUCAGACCCACGCACCGUCUCCGAAGCCCUAACCAAGCCCACAAUCCAAUGGACCCCAGACCUAGUAAACAAAGUCAUGAAGCGCCUCUGGAACCACGGGCCCAAGGCCCUCCAAUUCUUCAAACACCUAGACCGCCACCACCCUUCCUACACCCACUCCCCCUCCUCCUUCGACCACGCCGUCGACAUCGCGGCCCGCAUGCGCGACUUCAACUCCGCCUGGGCCCUCGUGGGCCGCAUGCGCUCCCUCCGCCUCGGCCCGUCUCCCAAAACCCUCGCCAUCCUCGCCGAGCGCUACGCCUCCAACGGUAAGCCCCACCGCGCCGUCCGAACUUUCCUCUCCAUGGCCGAGCACGGCAUCCGCCAAGAUCUCCACUCCUUCAACACCCUCCUCGACAUCCUCUGCAAAUCGAAGCGAGUCGAAACCGCGCACAGCCUCCUCAAAACGCUCACAUCGAGGUUCAGACCCGACACCGUUACCUAUAACAUACUUGCGAACGGUUAUUGCUUGAUCAAACGCACGCCGAUGGCUCUUCGGGUUUUGAAGGAGAUGGUGCAGCGUGGGAUUGAGCCUACGAUGGUCACGUAUAACACCAUGCUGAAAGGGUAUUUUAGGAGUAAUCAGAUUAAGGAGGCUUGGGAGUUUUAUUUGGAGAUGAAGAAGAGGAAGUGUGAGAUUGAUGUUGUGACUUACACCACUGUGAUUCACGGGUUCGGGGUGGCGGGUGAUGUUAAGAAAGCAAAAAGGGUUUUUCAUGAGAUGGUGAAGGAGGGUGUGGUUCCUAAUGUUGCUACUUACAAUGCUUUGAUUCAGGUUUUGUGUAAGAAGGAUAGUGUGGAGAAUGCGGUGGUGGUUUUCGAGGAGAUGGCGAGGGAGGGUGUGUGUGUGCCGAAUGUGGUUACUUACAAUGUUGUUAUACGAGGUUUGUGUCAUGUUGGGGACAUGGAGAGGGCGUUGGGGUUUAUGGAGAGGAUGGGGGAGCAUGGUUUGAGGGCUUGUGUUCAAACAUAUAAUGUUGUGAUUCGGUAUUUUUGUGAUGCCGGGGAGGUUGAGAAGGCUUUGGAGGUGUUUGGGAAGAUGGGGGAUGGGUCAUGCUUGCCCAAUUUGGACACUUAUAAUGUUUUGAUUAGUGCGAUGUUUGUCAGGAAGAAAUCAGAGGAUUUGGUGGUGGCUGGGAAGUUGUUGAUGGAGAUGGUUGAUAGAGGGUUCUUGCCGCGCAAGUUUACUUUUAAUAGGGUGUUGAAUGGACUUGUUAUUACUGGCAAUCAGGAUUUUGCAAAGGAGAUACUGAGAAUGCAGAGCAGGUGUGGCCGUGUUGUUCGGCGUUUGAAAUUGUGACAUGUUUUAUUGUUGGCUUAGAUACUCGAAGUUAAAGGAAGACAAUCUACAUGGUUCUGAACUAUUGAAAGUAUAUUGUCUGUUCAAUUGGAGAGCAUGUCCCCAUUCUGUAAUUUUGACGAAGUUUCUGCAUUCUGGGGAACUCUCUGGUGAUGAACCCACCAUUUCUGAAAAUCUUGCUUUAAAGGUCUCCUCAUUCAGGCCAGAACAAUGAAACCUAUUUUGCCUGCUACAGCUUUACCACAUUGGGGAAAUACUACAUGAUUGGUCUGACAAUCCCUGGCUGAAAAAGUACCAUAAUUUUGUGUUUGGUCAAUUUAACUCGUGGAGAAAGAUGGACAUAUUGGGUCUUGUUGACUGCCUCUUGGAGAAUGCAGGUUCAUUUGCUUUAGGCAGUUUUGGCUUAUCCCUGCUCGUACAAUUCAAGGGUCUAUAAGAUUCAACAGAAGAUGACACAUGUUACCGUUCCUUACUUCCUUCAAGCAUACUUUGGAAUUCAGUCGUUGCUUUCCAUAAAUCGUAAGAGUUCUGCAGACGAGCCAAUGGCAUCAUCCUCCAGAUGUUUCACCCCCUUCUUGUAAAAGGAUACAGGGAUGAUGGAGCACCAAACGCAAUAAUCCAUGAAUCAUCUUCCUUGCCUACCAAUAGAUACGGUAUUUUUUUUUCUUUCAAAAACCGUCAUUUAUGCACAAAUUGUCCUUUGUGACAGUAGGUUUCUAGCUUUGUGCCUCUACUACCUUUCCUGCUGUUAAGAGUUUGCUGUUUGGUCUCCCAUUUUGAUAAGAUUUGACAAAAACUUGAGUUGUGGACUGCUUCUUGCCAGUAAAUGUCUGAGUUUGUUAAAACCGGCAAAAUUGAUAUAUGUAAUUUAUGCUGUAAUUUAAGAUAUCAUUUUUGUGCUUUUAGUUAUAGGAUCUUACUUGACCAUUUGGAUUAGCGGUCUAUAUUAAAAUAUUCCAUCAUCAAACAGUCAUUAAUAUUUUUUUGUAAUUUUAUUGUACCGUAGUAUACAUGAUUACAGUUCUGAAUCACAACAGCUUAUCUCCUGUUUGGUGAA